ACCUUUUAUACUGCGUAUGAUGCAACAUGUCUUGACCGAAGAAAUAUUUUGGAAAAGCAUUCGCUUAUAUGUAAAUAGCACAAUCGCAUAAAGUUGGGAUUAAUCGGGGUACUUAAAAGAAUCAAAUAUGAAGAAAUUGAUGAUAGUAACGACCCUAAAACAUGUUUACGACAAGAAGCUGCAAGAUGAGCAUGUUUUCUCGGUGACAUCGCUUGUAAGAAAGAGGCCAACAUUAAAUUAAAACAACAUUGCGAACAAUCUAAAACAUACAGACUUAUGCCAUGGUAAAUGGAAUGGACAUAUUGUAAAGAUUUGAUGAUAACUACCGAAAAAGAGAAUACUUGGGAAAUUGUGUAUGUGAUAGGUUUGGAAAAAAAUGACACUAAAUUUUUAGAAUACUUGGCUUGCACUGAAGAUACUAAUCGCAUCAAAUCGUAUUUAACAUUAAAACAAAGUAUUUCUACAGAAGAUAAAUAUCCAAAUUCUUUUAACAGUUUCUUAUAUAUUAUUACAAAGCAUGCGAAGGAUCAAACUAUACUGGAGCACUUAUUAAGUUAUUUUAAAGAAAUAAAACCAAAGUAAUGUGCUAUAUUUUUAUAAAU